UUUGGCGCGAACGAGGAGCGGCGGCAGGUGGUGGUGGUGGUGGUCUUGUGGUGGGUUUGUUGGUGGUGGUGGUGGUGGUCUUGGAGUUUCAGUGAAACCUUCAUCCUGUUUCACUGGAUUUUGGGCUUUUCAGCUUCUGCUUUUUUCCUCUUGUAUACUUUUACUCUCUCUCUCUCUCUUCUUUCUCUCUCUACCGAAUGUUUU
rnacentral:lncRNA from 1 species